rnacentral:lncRNA from 1 species
UGGUUCGAAAGGUAAAACAAAAACGGGCACUUGUCUUGUCCUAUUUUCAUAGUUCUGAAUCACAGUAUUGUACUAAUAACAAAUUUGUUAUUAAUAAUAUAUUAAUUAGUUAUUAAUUGUCAACGACAUGGUAAAAAAAAAGAAUAAGAAUAUUGAUAACCUACUAAAACCUAACCUAAGUUUGUUUUAUGUAGAAGUAGAAGUAGAGUAAAGAGGUAAACAAAACAAAAACAAACAGAUUCAUCAUGGAUAACAAGACUUUAGCACUAACAUCUUUACUUUUAAUAAUGUUGCUUAAGAAAAGAAGGGAUAGACGUCUUAAAGAAGAGCGACUUCUUAAAAAAAAGCGUAUAUUAUGGAAAAAAAGAAUGGAUCGCGUGAAGAGGCAAAGCGAGUUUAGGCAAAGGAGUAUUAAAAAUAAGUUGAAAGAAGAAUUAUUUGAUGAAGACCCUUUGGCAUAAAAAAACUUUUUACCAAUAAUAAUAAUUUGUUAAAAAAUUUAUUGAGACUACCUAUUUGAUAAUAAAGCUGUAAAAUUUAA